GCGACAUAAAUCCUCUGGAUAAAUUAUUUGCCAAUGUAUAUGCCCCCAUUGGCGGGGUCCUUUACAUAGUCAGGUUAUCAAUUCAUAUCAUCUUUCAAUUCAUAUAUUAUUUCAAAAAUAAUAUAAAUAAGUAAUAUCCGAGUCAAUCAAUCAUAUCAUUCUUUAUGAUCAUAUAUCAUCAUCAUAAUUUUCAACAAAUAUCUUCAAUCAUAAAUAAUUUUUAAUAAUUAUUUUCAAUCACAAUUAAUUUCAACAAAUAUUUUCAAUCACAAGCAUACC
rnacentral:lncRNA from 1 species